UGAUAAACCACCAACCGGCCAACAGCUCAGGUUUGAUAUUAUAGAGCUGAACGGCGCUCCUGUUCCAGUGCCAGGAGAUAGUGGAGCACUCAGAGUCGUGCAGGUAACCCAGCUGGACCGAGACACUGUUCUCAUCACCUUGGAAAGAACUGUAAAGAUCGUGAACCUGCAAGGACUUCCAUCCAGACAGCUGGCUGCAGAAAUAGUCUUUGACUUCCCCAUUGAAACACUAGUCUGCUUGCAGGAUAGUGUGCUGGCGUUCUGGAAGCAUGGCCUCAAAGGGAGGAGUUUCCAUUCAGAUGAGGU